rnacentral:rRNA from 1 species
GAUGAACGCUGGCGGCGUGCCUAAUACAUGCAAGUCGAGCGAACAGACGAGGAGCUUGCUCCUCUGACGUUAGCGGCGGACGGGUGAGUAACACGUGGAUAACCUACCUAUAAGACUGGGAUAACUUCGGGAAACCGGAGCUAAUACCGGAUAAUAUAUUGAACCGCAUGGUUCAAUAGUGAAAGACGGUUUUGCUGUCACUUAUAGAUGGAUCCGCUCCGCAUUAGCUAGUUGGUAAGGUAACGGCUUACCAAGGCAACGAUGCGUAGCCGACCUGAGAGGGUGAUCGGCCACACUGGAACUGAGACACGGUCCAGACUCCUACGGGAGGCAGCAGUAGGGAAUCGUCCGCAAUGGGCGAAAGCCUGACGGAGCAACGCCGCGUGAGUGAUGAAGGUCUUCGGAGCGUAAAACUCUGUUAUUAGGGAAGAACAAAUGUGUAAGUAACUAUGCACGUCUUGACGGUACCUAAUCAGAAAGCCACGGCUAACUACGUG